rnacentral:sRNA from 1 species
GAACAUUCAGACGGUUGUUGUCGUGGUAGGAAGGCGCAUGGGCAGGGCGGCAUAGCUGCCCGGCGAAAGCACCCAUGCGCGGUAAGCAGGCUCCUGACGGGGCCUUUUUUUAUGCCCGCG